rnacentral:rRNA from 1 species
ACGCUGGCGGCGUGCCUAACACAUGCAAGUCGAGCGAUGAAAUCCUUCGGGAUGGAUUAGCGGCGGACGGGUGAGUAACACGUGGGUAACCUGCCUUGUAGAGGGGGAUAGCCUUCCGAAAGGAAGAUUAAUACCGCAUAACAUCCUUUUAUCGCAUGGUAGAAAGAUCAAAGGAGUAAUCCGCUACAAGAUGGACCCGCGGCGCAUUAGCUAGUUGGUGAGGUAACGGCUCACCAAGGCGACGAUGCGUAGCCGACCUGAGAGGGUGAUCGGCCACAUUGGAACUGAGACACGGUCCAGACUCCUACGGGAGGCAGCAGUGGGGAAUAUUGCGCAAUGGGGGAAACCCUGACGCAGCAACGCCGCGUGAAUGAAGAAGGCCUUAGGGUUGUAAAGUUCUGUUUACGGGGACGAUAAUGACGGUACCCGUGGAGGAAGCCACGGCUAACUACGUGCCAGCAGCAGC